rnacentral:rRNA from 1 species
UAAGGAAUAUUGCUCAAUGGGAGAAAUCCUGAAGCAGCAACGCCGCGUGGAGGAUGAAGGGUCUAUGACUUGUAAACUCCUGUAAAGAAGGAAAAAAUUCCCAUUUGAUGGGGGAUGAUGGUACUUCUGGAGUAAGCCCCGGCUAACUACGUGCCAGCAGCCGCGGUAAUACGUAGGGGGCAAGCGUUGUCCGGAUUUACUGGGUGUAAAGGGUGCUCAGGCGGAUUUGUAAGUCAGAGGUGAAAUCUUACAGCUUAACUGUGAAACUGCCUUUGAUACUGCAAGACUAGAGUAUGGAAGAGAGUGAUGGAAUAUCUGGUGUAGCAGUGAAAUGCGUAGAUAUCAGAUAGAACACCAAUGGCGAAGGCAGUCACUUGGUCCAUUACUGACGCUAAAGCACGAAAGCGUGGGUAGCAAACA